ensembl:snoRNA LOC120100414 small nucleolar RNA SNORA17
UCUGCCCCUAGAGCAUUGCAGAUGUGGCUGCUGUGUCAGCUGUGAGGCAGUAGGUGGCAGAGAGGAGAGAGGCUAUGUCUACGCUCAAUGUUCUGACCUAUGAAUAUCUGAAUGUUAGUAGCUUAACAUU